rnacentral:rRNA from 1 species
UCGAGAAUCUUCCGCAAUGGGCGCAAGCCUGACGGAGCGACGCCGCGUGAUGGAUGAAGACCCUCUGGGUCGUAAACAUCUUUUAUGAGGGAGAAAGUCAUUGAUAGUACCUCAUGAAUAAGGGGUUGCUAAACUCGUGCCAGCAGCAGCGGUAAUACGAGUGCCCCAAGCGUUAUCCGGAAUUACUGGGCGUAAAGGGUGUGUAGGUGGCAAUGUUAGUCUCUCGUUAAAUUCUUCGGCUUAACCGGGGGCUUGCGAGGGAAACGGCAUUGCUAGAGGGUGCGAGGGGCGAGUGGAACUCAUGGUGUAGGGGUGAAAUCCGUUGAUAUCAUGGGGAACACCAAAAGCGAAGGCAGCUCGCUGGCGCAUUCCUGACACUCAAACACGAAAGCGUGGGUAG